UGGAAAAGGUGUAAUGAUGAGAUGAAACGCUCUCACUAUCCAAACGGGACCUAAUCGAGUUUUAUGAGCAGCAUCCUCUAAUCUAAUAUCUCUCUCUUUCUGAUACUCGGCCUAAUACAAUCUGUCUCACGCAAUGUCUUAUCACCACACCAGCCCAACUCACUGUUGUUUCCCACCAGGC